rnacentral:rRNA from 1 species
GACGAACGCUGGCGGCGCGCCUAACACAUGCAAGUCGAACGAGCGAGAGGAGGUUUACUUUCUCAAGCGAGUGGCGAACGGGUGAGUAACGCGUGAGGAACCUGCCUCAAAGAGGGGGACAACAGUUGGAAACGACUGCUAAUACCGCAUAAGCCCACGACCCGGCAUCGGGUAGAGGGAAAAGGAGCAAUCCGCUUUGAGAUGGCCUCGCGUCCGAUUAGCUAGUUGGUGAGGUAAUGGCCCACCAAGGCGACGAUCGGUAGCCGGACUGAGAGGUUGAACGGCCACAUUGGGACUGAGACACGGCCCAGACUCCUACGGGAGGCAGCAGUGGGGAAUAUUGCACAAUGGGGGAAACCCUGAUGCAGCGACGCCGCGUGGAGGAAGAAGGUCUUCGGAUUGUAAACUCCUGUUGUUGAGGAAGAUAAUGACGGUACUCAACAAGGAAG